AGGUCUCUUUUUGCGCUCCCCCUCCUCCCCCCGGGAGCAAAGGCUGAGAAAGUUGUAAGCUAAUGUUAGAAUUAAGCGUGAAGAAAUUCCUGAAAUUCUACUAAGCCUAACCAAUUUCAUUCCUUGAUGUAUCGAGUCUUCAGGUAAAGGUUGGAUGAAAAGGAAUUUCUUUGACACUGAGUAGACUGAAAAUGAAAUAAACUUUGCCGCUCGAAGACUGGGAAUCGGCUACACUAUGACGAGUAAACUAGGAGAGUUCCAUAUCAAUUUCAUUAUUUUCCAAUAGAAAAAGAAGAAGAAGAAGAAGAAGAAGAAGAAGAAGAAAAGUACAAGGCAAAUUAUUGACUCAAGUAUCUAAACCGCCCAGAUGGCCAAUAAACUGAGCUUAGAAGAAGACUGACGACAAUGAACUUUCAGGCAAUCCAUCAUCCACUGUCUUUGGACUUGGAUGUCCCAACAGAAGGAAAAGUUAUUGAUUAUUUGAUUAAAGACAAGAAACUUGACUUUUGAAUAAUAUGUUAAGCGUUAAUUUGACAAUAGCGCGAUCUAUCAGUAACAUCUGUUCCCAACAAACCGAUGAAAGCGGUCUAACAACAUUUAUUGACAACAACACACGAAUUUAAUUAGUUUUGAGGUCUUUGAGUAUUUGAAAAUACUUCGCUCCAUUCAAUUGAAUCAAUUGGUUUAGGACUGAAUCGACAAAGCCGCUUAGGAACGAAAAGCACUCGCUACAAGAGACCAUUUUUCAAGCUUAGCACUUGUGGUGAGUAAAUCAUAUAUUCAUUACUAUUCGAAAUACACAACACCAUUUUCAUUGCGGUAUAUUGGUUAUACCAAUAGCUGUAUUGCGGUGGCGGUCUUUUAGUAGUGCCUAAGUCGCUAUUAAUGCGCGCAGAACUUUCUUUCAAGUUGUUGCAUUCCAGGGAAACAUUCAGGAAGUUAGAAAAAGAAUAGUAAAAGUUCCCAAUACACUUUAGUUUUAGUGCCGUUCAAACUAAGUAAAGGGUACUACUAUAUAUCUACGUCGAAAGUUCUACUCGAUGUUCGUCAAGGUACGUACGUAUUCACUAUCUUUAGUAUCAUUGCCUACGGGCGAGUAAUAAAGGUUCACCCCGACA